GUUCCUGCUUCUCCGCUGGUGUCCACCACUGAAGUUCAUCCCCUAUCCUACGCUUUCAUUUCAAUUCAAUCCCCCUUCAAAACAGAAAAUCGUAACUCCAUAACUUAUUUAUUAAUUAAUUUCCUCUUUUUUUAAUUAAUUUUUCUUUCCAUUAAUCCUUUCUCUUCAGACAAACACGACCUCGCUCUCUCCAAAUCUUUCAAAAAAAGAUACCACUACUACCCAAUUUGAGGAAGUGUCAACUGAGAAAAUCACCGAAGUACUACAGAUGUCUCGGAAACAAUGAGGGUUGGACAGAGAAGAAAUUGAGAAGCUGAGAAGCCUAUUGAAAAACCUAUUGGGGUAUGUUCUUUGGGUAAUAUCUCUAGUUCAGAACCAGAGUUCGAGGAAAAUGAUUGGACUUGCUAAGGAGAAGAAUGG